rnacentral:SRP_RNA from 12 species
GGCCGUGCGAGGCCGCGCCACGAGCUGCGCCAGGUCCCGGAGGCAGCUGCCGUCGGCGAAAGCCUGCA